rnacentral:rRNA from 1 species
UACGAAGGGUGCAAGCGUUACUCGGAAUUACUGGGCGUAAAGCGUGCGUAGGUGGUUUCUUAAGUCUGCUGUGAAAGCCCCGGGCUCAACCUGGGAACUGCAUCCAAAACUGGCAAGCUAGAGUACGGUAGAGGGUGGUGGAAUUUCCUGUGUAGCGGUGAAAUGCGUAGAGAUCCGGAGGAACACCAAAGGCGAAGGCAGUGUCCUGGGGAGUACCUGACGCUCAGGUGCGAAAGCCAGGGGAGCGAACGGG